AAGGAAAGUAAAGUUUUAUCUUAGCUUACAGGUUUUCUAUUAUAUAAAUUUACAUGUAAAUUGUUGUGGGAUUGUAAAAUAUUCUAAAAGAAGUAGCAAUUAUAGGCGCAGUAUAUAACAUUUUUAUUUUCAUAGGUGAAGAAAAGGUUAAUAUAUGGGACAAAUUCUGGUGAAACCUGUGCCAGCAGCCGCGGUUACACAGGAGGGGUGAGGAAAUUAUAUAAGUAAAAGUAAAUUGAUUUAUUUUUAAAUAAAAUAUAUAUUUUUAGGUGAAAUUUUAAUGUAUAAAAAGAUUAAAGAAUAUAAUAAAUGAAUCUUAAAAUUCUUAUAAAAAGACUAGGAUUAGAUACCCUAUUAUUUAGGAUGUUAAAAUAAGUUACUAAGGUAGUAAUAGUUAAGGUCUUGAAACUUAAAAGAUUUGACGGUAAUUUAAACUAACCAGAGGAACUUGUCCCGUAAUCGAUAAUCCUCGAUAAACCUUACUUAAAUUAGUUUGCAGCUUAUAUACCGCCGUCAUAAGAUUAUAUUAAUAAAUAAUGAUCAAGAUCUAAGAAGAGAAUGUCAGGUCAAGGUGUAGUCUAUAUUUAAGAGGAGAUGAGUUACAAUAAAAAUAUUUAUAUGGAAAGUUAAUUGAAACAUUAAAAAGAAGGUGGAUUUGGUAGUAAUUAUUUAUAUAAGAAAAUUAAUGACUUUAGCUCUAAAUUAUGUACACAUCGCCCGUCGCUCUCAUUUAUUAAGGUGAGAUAAGUCGUAACAUAGUAGGUGUACUGGAAAGUGCCCCUAGAAAGUAAA
rnacentral:ncRNA from 1 species